rnacentral:SRP_RNA from 1 species
GUUGGGCACAGUGGUAUGUGCCUGUAGUACUAGUUACUCCAGGAGGAGGCUGAGGAAGGAGGAUCGCUUGAGCCCAGGAGUUCUGGCUCGUAGAGCACUGUGCCCAUGGGGUGUCCGCACUAAGGUCGGCAUCAGUAUGAUGACCUCCUGGUGGGAGUGGGGGACCACCAGGUUGCCCAAGGAGGGGUGAACCAGACCAGGUCAGAAACAGAGCAGGUCAAAACUCCUGUGCUGAUCAGUAAUGGGAUGGUGCCUGUGAACAGCCACUGCACUCCAACCAGGGGAACAUGGCAAGACCCCAUCUCUA